rnacentral:rRNA from 1 species
GACGAACGCUGGCGGUAUGCUUAACACAUGCAAGUCGAACGAGAAGUUUUUUAUUGAACCUUCGGGGGAUAUAAGAGACAGACAGUGGCGAACGGGUGAGUAACGCGUGGGCAACCUACCGAUCGGAGCGGGAUAGCCUCGAGAAAUCGGGAGUAAAACCGCAUAACACGGAUAUAUCGCAUGAUGAAUCCGUCAAAACUCCGGUGCCGAUAGAUGGGCCCGCGUCUGAUUAGCUAGUUGGUAAGGUAAGGGCUUACCAAGGCAACGAUCAGUAGCCGGUGCUGAGAGGGCGAACGGCCACACUGGAACUGAGACACGGUCCAGACUCCUACGGGAGGCAGCAGUGGGGAAUAUUGCGCAAUGGGGGCAACCCUGACGGAGCAAUACCGCGUGAGUGAAGAAGGUUUUCGGAUCGUAA